CAGGGUGCUGGGUACUGGGUACCUACAGACUUGAGGUUGAAGGAAUCCAAGUUCUGGGCUGUUGGGUUUAGGCUUUUGGACCACUGCGCUUUUCGUCAGUCUAAAUCAGGCUUCAGCCCUUGCUGAGACAGGUUUUCUUCCCAUACCGCUUUGAACUUUUUUUGUUUUAUUUUGUUUUUGUUUUUUGAGACCGGGUUGCACUAUUUUAGCCCAGGCUAGCCCCGACCUUGUGAUCCUCGUGCCUCUCCCUCCUGAGUGCUGGGAUUAAAACAAUAAACAUGAAAAAAAUCCAUAGGAAAAAAUCCAUAGUUAAUUAUGAUCAGCAUGAUUAAUACAUUGGAGAAUAAGUAAAAAUGCUUGGAAUCCCUCUUUCCAGGUCUCUGCCAGAUCCUCCUGCCUCUGCCUCCAGAGUGCUGGGAUUAUAGGGGUGCACCACCACAGCCAGCUUGCUUUGACCAUCUGAGUCUCUGUCCACACAGCUCCAGGACCUUCUUAUGUUUAGUUUAUUUUUACUUUUUUUUUUUUGGGGGGCAGUGCUGGUGAUUGAACCCAGGGCCUCACAUAUGCUAGCCCAGUGCUGCACACUAAGCCACAUCCUAAGCCCUGCCUCAUAAUUUUUAAACAUUUGAGUCCCCUGAUUUCUUUAUUCAUCUCCUAUAAUGUACCCUUUUUUUGUAGUACUGGGGAUUGAGCCCAGGGCCUUUGCACUGAGCUACAUCCCAGGCCUUUCUCUUUGUUUGUUUUUUUUUUGAGACAGGGUCUCACUAAAUUACCCAGGCUGGGCUUAAACUUACAUCGUCCUGCCUCAGCCUCCCAGUUGCUGGGAUUACAGGCAUGGACCCCCCCUCACACACACCAGUUUAAUACUGAUUGUUGGUUUCCUAGUUCUGCGUUGCCUUCAUUGGAGAAUCAUUGGUCUGGUAGCUCAGUGAUUGUAAUGCCAGGAUCAUAAAGCUUUACCUUUAAUCCUCAGGAAACUGUGGCUGCCAGACUUUCUGUUUCGCUCUUGGGUCACACCCAGCUACUACCUGCAGACAUAGCAGGCACUGCCGCCAAGCUGCCCUCCCUAGAAUGUCCAGUGCAGUGUUGAACAGCAGUGAUGAAAGUAGACGUCCUGGUUUUGUUCUUGAUCUCAACAGGAAAGCUUUCAAUCUUCUGCCAGUGUGGUGUUAACUGUGGGUUUUGUAGGUGAACUCUUGAUUGAGGAAGCACCCUUUCAUUCCCAGGUUGUUGAGUCUUUCUGUCAUGAAUGGGCAUUGGAUUUUGUCAAAUACAUUUCGUCUAUUGAGAUGAUCCUGUGGUUUCUUUCUUUAUUGAUAUAUUGAUUUUUGGAUGUUAACUCAACCUUACAUAAUUAUAGUGUAUAAAUUCCACUUGUUCAUUGUAUAUAAUCCUUUCAAAUGCUAAAUGGUUUGCUGCUACUUCCUUGAGGAUUUUUGUGUUUACAAUUAUAAGAGAUACUGGUCUUAUAGUUUUCUUGAGAUGUGCUUGUCUGGUUUUGGUAUUGUGGUAAUAUGGCCUCAUGGAAUGAGUUGUUGUCUCCUUUUCUGUGUUUUGGAGGACAAAAACUGGUACUGUUGUCCCUUGACGUUCACAGGGAAUGGGUCCCAAGACCCCUGUGAGCACCAAAAACAUAGGAUUCUCAAGUCUGUUAUAUAAAAGUGUAAUAACGUACUCAUGUUCUCCCAUAUACUUAAAAUCACCUCUAGAUUACUUACCUAAUACAUCAGUUCUAUGUUCAGUACAGAAGCAGUUUCUUUUUGAAUAGGUUUGAUUCACAGUUGGUUGAAUCCUGGUAUGGAAUCUACAGAUAGAGAGGGCCAACUGUAUUGAUGUAAUUGUUUUGGAUUUUCAAGACAAGGUCUCCCAAUGUAGUUUAGGGUGGCCUUGGACUCACUGUGUAACCCAGGCUGGUGUCAAACUCAGGGUGAUCCUCCUGCCUCUGCCUCCUAAUUCCUGGGAUUACAGGCUGUGCCACCACACCCAGCAACUGUAUUAAUUUGAAAAAAAUAUUUGAUAGAAUUUACCAAUAAAGCCACUUGAGUUUGGGCGUUACUUUGUGGAAUUUUUCCUUUUAACUGUGGUGAAAAUACAUGUAAUCUACAUCCUACCGCUUAGAAAUGGAUAGCUUAGUUCUCUUCAGCACGUUCAUAUUGUGCAGGCAAUCUCCAGAACUCUCCAUCUUGCAAAACUGAAACUGCACCCAUUGAACAACUGUCCAUUCCCAUUUUUCCUAGCCCCACCAACCAUCAUUCACACUUGGGUCGCUUUUUUCUUUCGGAUCUUGUGGCUAGAGCUGCUAUGAACACGGGUAUACACAAUUCUCCUUGAGACCCUGCUUUCAGUUUUGGGGGUGUGUGUACCCAGAAGUGGAGUUGCUGCCUCAUGUUAAAAUUGUACAGAUCUGCCAGAAUGAAACCCAUUAAUCUGUAUAACCUAGAUGCACUGCUAAAAAAUGGGGGAGCUGGGCAUGGAGGCAUCUGCCUGUAUUCCUAGCACUUAGGAGGCUGAGGCAGGAGGAUCACUCAGAGUUCAAGGUCAAUCUGGGCUACAUAAUGAGUUCAAGGCUAGCCUGAACUAAACAGUGAGACUCUACCUCAAAAAAAACCAAAAAGAAAAAAGGGAAAAUUUUGUUAUCUAAAUUGUUUUUUGUGGGUUUUUUGUAGUACUGGGAUUGAACUCAGGACCUUGUGCUUACAAGGCAGAUGUGGUGCCACUGAGCUAGCUCCCCAGCCCUUGUUAUCUAAAUUGUGAUAGUUUCAGAGAUACAUACACAAUCAUGGUGGAUCACAGCAUAUACUUUAAGGACAGUCAUCAGUUAUAUUAUUAAAGGUACUAAAAAGUUUAAUGGAAGACAUCAUAUGAUAGCAAUACAUACCCAUAUUCAUAGCAGCGCAAUUCACAGCAGCUAGGCUGUGGAAACAGCCUAGAUGCUCAUCAACAGAUGAAUGGAUAAAGACAAUGUGCACAAUGGAAUGUUACCUAGCCAUAAAGAAGAACCAGGGCCGGGGAUGUAGCUCAGUGCUUUCGCUGCCUGCUAUGCAAGUGUAAGGACCCAAGUUCGAUCCCCGGUACCAAAAAAAAAAAA